rnacentral:rRNA from 1 species
UCCUGUCUGAAUAUGGGGGGACCAUCCUCCAAGGCUAAAUACUCCUGACUGACCGAUAGUGAACCAGUACCGUGAGGGAAAGGCGAAAAGAACCCCGGCGAGGGGAGUGAAAAAGAACCUGAAACCGUGUACGUACAAGCAGUGGGAGCACAGGUUUACCUGUGUGACUGCGUACCUUUUGUAUAAUGGGUCAGCGACUUAUAUUCUGUAGCAAGGUUAACCGAAUAGGGGAGCCGGAGGGAAACCGAGUCUUAAUUGGGCGUUAAGUUGCAGGGUAUAGACCCGAAACCCGGUGAUCUAGCCAUGGGCAGGUUGAAGGUUGGGUAACACUAACUGGAGGACCGAACCGACUAAUGUUGAAAAAUUAGCGGAUGACCUGUGGCUGGGGGUGAAAGGCCAAUCAAACCGGGAGAUAGCUGGUUCUCCCCGAAAGCUAUUUAGGUAGCGCCUCGUGAAUUCAUCUCCGGGGGUAGAGCACUGUUUCGGCUAGGGGGCCAUCCCGGCUUACCAACCCGAUGCAAACUGCGAAUACCGGAGAAUGUUAUCACGGGAGACACACGGCGGGUGCUAACGUCCGUCGUGAAGAGGGAAACAACCCAGACCGCCAGCUAAGGUCCCAAAGUCAUGGUUAAGUGGGAAACGAUGUGGGAAGGCCCAGACAGCCAGGAUGUUGGCUUAGAAGCAGCCAUCAUUUAAAGAAAGCGUAAUAGCUCACUGGUCGAGUCGGCCUGCGCGGAAGAUGUAACGGGGCUAAACCAU